UACAGAGGGGGCAAGCGUUGUUCGGAAUUACUGGGCGUAAAGGGCGCGUAGGCGGCCUUCUAAGUCGAACGUGAAAUCCCCGGGCUCAACCCGGGAACUGCGUCCGAUACUGGGAGGCUUGAAUCCGGGAGAGGGAUGUGGAAUUCCAGGUGUAGCGGUGAAAUGCGCAAAUAUCGGGAGGAACACCAAUUGCGAAGGCAGCUCGCUGGGACGUUACUGACGCUGAGACGCGAAAGCGUGGGGAGCAAACAGG
rnacentral:rRNA from 1 species